UAUAUGGCUCUGGACCUCUCCAUUGUGUUCAACCCAGCAUGCAUCACAUCAAGUCAGAUCUGUACAGAUCUGCAUGAAGACGAACACGCCUAU